GUUUACACUUCUUUUCCUUGAGUAACCUCUCAUGCAAGCGCGUUGCUAGAACUUGCUAGUAUUAAGAAAUAUAAAGGGAAAAGAAAUAAAGAGUAGAUAAUCAACUGUGAAAGUUAUAAGUAAUAAAAAUUAAUCCUUAUAUGUGUGCUAACUCAAGUACUCAUUGGGUGGGUUUUUUAUUUCCAUGGAGAAGUGAAUGCCUUUUCUAUACAACUUUGGGUUUGUUUGAUGUUGUUAUUGGAGUUGCUAUUGAGAAAAUGAGCUUCCUAAAUAUGUUAGUGAGAGGAUAUUAAAAA
rnacentral:misc_RNA from 1 species